GCUCCAUGCAUCUGUACAGGGGAACAAGAGGAUGUUGUGUGACCGUUAAGCCCCUGUGCAAGCUAUUCACUUUGAAGGUCACAGGCCAUGUCUUCACAGCUAAGAGGGAAAGAGGAAGUGAGAGCAACGCAGAGAGUGAAGACGCCAUGGAGGCACUACAGAUGUCCUUGCACUUGUGAGCAAGCCACCCAGCAUGAUGCGGAAACUCUAGAAAGCAAGGUCUUCCUGUAAUUUAAACACC